AAAGGUUCAAGUACAUAAGUAUGUGUGUGUAUGUAAACAUAUGUCAUUAUUUAAAAUUUCUGGAAAGCUCAAUUGUCUGACUGUAUGAGAACACAUUUGGUGGUUGGUAUCCAAUAAAAUUUUGCUUUACUUCAUGUGAACGUUGUUGAAUGUCUACAUUUCGUACUGAUAUGAUAUUUGGUGAGAUUCAAGUCAUUUAAAUUGAUCCUCUAGAAAGAUAGGAGCAAUCAACCAGUGUUGCUGGUUGCAUUUUGCUAAUGAUUUUGUUGUGAUCUGCUCUACAUCAAGUCCUCUACCUUGUUUAUGUUGCUACUUGGUGGAUGCGAUUGUUGAUUCAUUGUGGAAAUUCAAAGGACGUGGAAUUGGCAGGGUAGAGAAGUACUGCUGGCUCAAUAAUUCUGCCGAAGUUGUGCGUAUAACACAGAAUAUUUUCUUGUGGAUAUUGAUUCUAGUGGAUGAAAAGGAGGCAUUAUUACCCAUAAUUCCAUUCGGAUGAAUUCUUAAAUGGAUGAACUUAAGAUGGAUGAAAUUUUAUUUUGGGAUGAAGAGUAAUUUUUUGAUGAAAUCUCAAUCUUAGA
rnacentral:lncRNA from 1 species